CCCAACUAUCCCUAUUAAUCAUUACGUCGAUCCUAGAAACCAACAAAAUAGAAUCAAACGUCCUAUUUCGUUAUUCCAUGCUAAUGUAUUCAAGCGUGAGCCUGCUUUAAACACUCUAAUUUUUUCAAAGUAACAGUCCUGAUUCCCCAAGACACCAAAUUAAUGACAUCACGGCUCCUCGGAAAGGAGGAACCAACAAAACCAGUACGUACCGUAGGCACGACCAGCAAAUUGAUCCCGAAAUUCAACUACGAGCUUUUUAACUGCAACAACUUUAAUAUACGCUAUUGGAGCUGGAAUUACCGCGGCUGCUGGCACCAGACUUGCCCUCCAA
rnacentral:misc_RNA from 1 species